AAAGUGCUUCCUUUUUGAGUG
rnacentral:miRNA from 1 species